GACGAACCGUGCGAACGUUAUUCGGAAUCACUGGGCUUAAAGCGCGUGUAGGCGGGGUGGCACGUCCGUCGCUGAAAUCCCCCGGCUCAACCGGGGAACGGGCGCGGAUACGACCAUCCUCGAGGGACGUAGGGGGACCUGGAACUUCCGGUGGAGCGGUGAAAUGCGUUGAGAUCGGAAGGAACGCCCGUGGCGAAAGCGAGGUCCUGGACGUCUGCUGACGCUGAGACGCGAAAGCCAGGGGAGCAAACAGG
rnacentral:rRNA from 1 species